GAAUCAACAUUCUUUACGUGUCUAGCUAGAUAAUGACAUUGCUUUCUCUCGAAUUGAGUAACCAUUAACUGACAUUAGUUUUGAAAUUUAAUAACCACCUUAUAUGUAUGUUUGUUGCAUGAAAACUUCAGAGAGGGUGUGAAGGAGAAUGAAAAUGCAGAUGAAAAUUUAAACAGAAUUGAGGAAAAAUAAAUGAAGAAAAU
rnacentral:lncRNA from 1 species